CUAGGCUAUGUGUGAAGGUGUAAUAGGGAGGUGAUGUACCUUAUAUGUACAUGCCCACCUCUCUAUAGUAAGAUGUGUUUUGGGUGGAAACCCAAAAACAAAUCCGUGAAGGCGUGGCCCAAAGUGGACAAUAUCUUACUAUGUGGAUUCGGAUGUGACACUUCUUGACGUUGAACAAGUGGUCAGACUUCUUCUUGAUCGAGCAAUAUGAUGAAUAUUCUUUGGUGAAAACCACGAAAGUUCGUUGAAACUCUAGAUAUAUUGUGAAAGCAGGGUGUAAAAUCAAUAUUACGACUCGCCUUGUAAAGUGGUGGUGAAUAUCUUGCACAUAAGAGCAUUGUUGUUCCGAUAAAGGACCAUUGUGCUUCGGUAAUGCUUCAAGUGUCUCUCCGGGUCUCUAUCUCCUUUGAAUGAUGUGAAAUGUGACAUGCUGAACUUACGUGGAGGCUAUGCCUGCUCAAUCUCAUCUGUGAAGGGUGAUAUGCUUAUGUUGGUCAUGUUCCGUCGUAGUGCCUCGUUGGUAACCUUGUUGAGUUGGGAAUCGCGCAAUCGCUCGGUUAAAAGUCUCACUAAUUUUUCCUAAAUUUACCUUGGUUGGGGUAGCAGAGCUCUCGGCUAUCCCCAGUUGUGACCUUCUGGUUUAGGCUGUUCUUCUAUGUGAUUGGCUCGUCUAUGUCGCGGUUGCAGUGCAUGUGGUAUAUUCCUAGCAGGCGAGUAAAUUCCUCGAUGGCUACCAAUUAAACUUGAACCGGAAUGAGUGACUGUUUUUUUCCAUUCGUCGUGCUACAUACUCUGAUAUAAGGUGAAAGAUGCUCCUUGCAGGUCUAGCCACGAAUGAACACUUCGCCCAGAAGGUUGCUUAUGUUGAUUAUUGGAGUGUGAUCCCGACCGUGAAUG
rnacentral:lncRNA from 1 species